CCUACGGGAGGCAGCAGUGGGGAAUUUUGGACAAUGGACGCAAGCCUGAUCCAGCCAUGCCGCGUGCGGGAAGAAGGCCUUCGGGUUGUAAACCGCUUUUGUCAGGGAAGAAAAGGUUCUGGUUAAUACCUGGGACUCAUGACGGUACCUGAAGAAUAAGCACCGGCUAACUACGUGCCAGCAGCCGCGGUAAUACGUAGGGUGCAAGCGUUAAUCGGAAUUACUGGGCGUAAAGCGUGCGCAGGCGGUUAUGCAAGACAGAGGUGAAAUCCCCGGGCUCAACCUGGGAACUGCCUUUGUGACUGCAUAGCUAGAGUACGGUAGAGGGGGAUGGAAUUCCGCGUGUAGCAGUGAAAUGCGUAGAUAUGCGGAGGAACACCGAUGGCGAAGGCAAUCCCCUGGACCUGUACUGACGCUCAUGCACGAAAGCGUGGGGAGCAAACAGGAUUAGAUACCCUGGUAGUCCACGCCCUAAACGAUGUCAACUGGUUGUUGGGAGGGUUUCUUCUCAGUAACGUAGCUAACGCGUGAAGUUGACCGCCUGGGGAGUACGGCCGCAAGGUUGAAACUCAAAUGAAUUGACGG
rnacentral:rRNA from 1 species